AUUGAACGCUGGCGGAAUGCUUUACACAUGCAAGUCGAACGGCAGCACGGACUUCGGUCUGGUGGCGAGUGGCGAACGGGUGAGUAAUGCAUCGGAACGUGCCCAGUCGUGGGGGAUAACGUAGUGAAAAUUACGCUAAUACCGCAUACGAUCUAUGGAUGAAAGCGGGGGAUCGCAAGACCUCGCGCGAUUGGAGCGGCCGAUAUCAGAUUAGGUAGUUGGUGGGGUAAAGGCCCACCAAGCCAACGAUCUGUAGCUGGUCUGAGAGGACGACCAGCCACACUGGAACUGGGACACGGGCCAGACUCCUACGGGGGGCAGCAGUGGGGAAUUUUGGACAAUGGGCGAAAGCCUGAUCCAGCCAUUCUGCGUGCAGGAUGAAGGCCCUCGGGUUGUAAACUGCUUUUGUACAGAACGAAAAGGUUUCUACUAAUACUAGGAGCUCAUGACGGUACUGUAAGAAUAAGCACCGGCUAACUACGUGCCAGCAGCCGCAGUAA
rnacentral:rRNA from 1 species